GCCUAGCCGUAACACACAAUUAAACAACCAAUUGUUCGCCAAACAACUACGAGCUAUACUUGAAACUUAAAAGACUUGACGGUACUUCAUCACGGCCUAGAGGAGCCUGUCUAAUAACCGACAAUCCACGAUUAACCCAACCCCUUCUUGCCCAACAGUCUAUAUACCGCCGUCGCCAGCUUACCUUGUAAAAGAAAUAAAGUGAGCUAAAUAAUACAACACUAAAACGACAGGUCGAGGUGUAACUUAUGAAGGGGCCAAGAUGGGCUACAUUCUCUCCGAGAAUACGAAUAACACUAUGAAAUUAGUGCUUGAAGACGGAUUUAGCAGUAAGCUAAGAAUAAAAUACUUAACUGAACAUAACGCAAUGAAGUGCGUACACACCGCCCGUCAUCCCUGCCAUCAUAAUAUAAACCUUAAUAAACCAACUUAAGAGCUAAUUCAGGGCAAGUCGUAACAUGGUAAGUGUACUGGAAAGUGUACUUAGAAA
rnacentral:rRNA from 1 species